rnacentral:tRNA from 2 species
GGUGCCAUAGCUCAGUUGUAGCCUUUAAAUCGAAGAUUUAAAGGCGAAUAGAGCAAAGGACUGAAAAUCCUUGUGUCCCCGGUUCGAUUCCUGGUGGCACCA